UAGUCCACGCCGUAAACGAUGUCUACUAGCCGUUGGGAGACUUGAUUUCUUAGUGGCGCAGCUAACGCACUAAGUAGACCGCCUGGGGAGUACGGCCGCAAGGUUAAAACUCAAAUGAAUUGACGGGGGCCCGCACAAGCGGUGGAGCAUGUGGUUUAAUUCGAUGCAACGCGAAGAACCUUACCAGGUCUUGACAUCCUGCGAAUUUUCUAGAGAUAGAUUAGUGCCUUCGGGAACGCAGUGACAGGUGCUGCAUGGUUGUCGUCAGCUCGUGCCGUGAGGUGUUGGGUUAAGUCCCGCAACGAGCGCAACCCCUAUCUCUAGUUACCAGCGGGUAAUGCCGGGGACUCUAGAGAGACUGCCUGUGCAAGCAGUGAGGAAGGAGGGGGACGACGGUCAAAUCAUCAUGGCCUUUAUGCCUAGGGGCUACACACGUGCUACAAUGGGUGGGGACAAAGAGCUGCGAACCGGGUGACGGGCAAGGCCAAUCUCAAAAACCCUACCU
rnacentral:rRNA from 1 species